GUGUAUUCUACAGUGCGUGUGUCUCCAGUGAUUGUACGAAACUGGAGAUGCUGCUCUGUUGGAAUAAC